rnacentral:rRNA from 1 species
GGCAACAGCUCAAAUUUGAAAUCUGGCUCUUUUAGAGUCCGAGUUGUAAUUUGCAGAGGGCGCUUUGGUGUUGGCAGCGGUCUAAGUUCCUUGGAACAGGACGUCACAGAGGGUGAGAAUCCCGUACGUGGUCGCUAGCCUUCGCUGUGUAAAGCCCCUUCGACGAGUCGAGUUGUUUGGGAAUGCAGCUCUAAAUGGGAGGUAAAUUUCUUCUAAAGCUAAAUACUGGCCAGAGACCGAUAGCGCACAAGUAGAGUGAUCGAAAGAUGAAAAGCACUUUGGAAAGAGAGUCAAACAGCACGUGAAAUUGUUGAAAGGGAAGCGCUUGCAGCCAGACUUGCCUGUAGUUGCUUAUCUAGACUUCUGUCUGGUGCACUCUUCUAUAGGCAGGCCAGCAUCAGUUUGGGCGGUUGGAUAAAGGUCUCUAUCAAGUACUUCCCUUCGGGGUAGCCUUAUAGGGGGGACGACAUGCAACCAGCCUGAACUGAGGUCCGCGCAUCUGCUAGGAUGCUGGCGUAAUGGCUGUAAGCGGCCCGUCUUGAAACACGGACCAAGGAGUCUAACAUCUAUGCGAGUGUUUGGGUGUCAAGCCCAGACGCGUAAUGAAAGUGAACGGAGGUGGGAACCUUUUAGGUGCACCAUCGACCGAUCCUGAUGUCUUCGGAAGGAUUUGAGUAUGAGCAUAGCUGUUGGGACCCGAAAGAUGGUGAACUAUGCUUGAAUAGGGUGAAGCCAGAGGAAACUCUGGUGGAGGCUCGCAGCGGUUCUGACGUGCAAAUCGAUCG